rnacentral:rRNA from 1 species
CGGUAGUGCUACCAUGCAAGUCGAACGGUGAAGCAGAGCUUGCUCUGUGGAUCAGUGGCGAACGGGUGAGUAACACGUGAGCAAUCUGCCCCUGACUCUGGGAUAAGCGCUGGAAACGGCGUCUAAUACCGGAUACGAGCUGCGACCGCAUGGUCAGUAGCUGGAAAGAAUUUCGGUCAGGGAUGAGCUCGCGGCCUAUCAGCUUGUUGGUGAGGUAAUGGCUCACCAAGGCGUCGACGGGUAGCCGGCCUGAGAGGGUGACCGGCCACACUGGGACUGAGACACGGCCCAGACUCCUACGGGAGGCAGCAGUGGGGAAUAUUGCACAAUGGGCGAAAGCCUGAUGCAGCAACGCCGCGUGAGGGAUGACGGCCUUCGGGUUGUAAACCUCUUUUAGCAGGGAAGAAGCGAAAGUGACGGUACCUGCAGAAAAAGCGCCGGCUAACUACGUGCCAGCAGCCGCGGUAAUACGUAGGGCGCAAGCGUUAUCCGGAAUUAUUGGGCGUAAAGAGCUCGUAGGCGGUCUGUCGCGUCUGCUGUGAAAACCCGAGGCUCAACCUCGGGCCUGCAGUGGGUACGGGCAGACUAGAGUGCGGUAGGGGAGAUUGGAAUUCCUGGUGUAGCGGUGGAAUGCGCAGAUAUCAGGAGGAACACCGAUGGCGAAGGCAGAUCUCUGGGCCGUAACUGACGCUGAGGAGCGAAAGGGUGGGGAGCAAACAGGCUUAGAUACCCUGGUAGUCCACCCCGUAAACGUUGGGAACUAGUUGUGGGGUCCAUUCCACGGAUUCCGUGACGCAGCUAACGCAUUAAGUUCCCCGCCUGGGGAGUACGGCCGCAAGGCUAAAACUCAAAGGAAUUGACGGGGACCCGCACAAGCGGCGGAGCAUGCGGAUUAAUUCGAUGCAACGCGAAGAACCUUACCAAGGCUUGACAUAUAGAGGAAACGUCUGGAAACAGUCGCCCCGCAAGGUCUCUAUACAGGUGGUGCAUGGUUGUCGUCAGCUCGUGUCGUGAGAUGUUGGGUUAAGUCCCGCAACGAGCGCAACCCUCGUUCUAUGUUGCCAGCACGUAAUGGUGGGAACUCAUGGGAUACUGCCGGGGUCAACUCGGAGGAAGGUGGGGAUGACGUCAAAUCAUCAUGCCCCUUAUGUCUUGGGCUUCACGCAUGCUACAAUGGCCGGUACAAAGGGCUGCAAUACCGUGAGGUGGAGCGAAUCCCAAAAAGCCGGUCCCAGUUCGGAUUGAGGUCUGCAACUCGACCUCAUGAAGUCGGAGUCGCUAGUAAUCGCAGAUCAGCAACGCUGCGGUGAAUACGUUCCCGGGUCUUGUACACACCGCCCGUCAAGUCAUGAAAGUCGGUAACACCUGAAGCCGGUGGCCCAACCCUUGUGGAGGGAGCCGUCGAAGGUGGGAUCGGUA